GGGAGCCUGACGGAGAGCCGAUGCUGGGCAAAUCUCUGUUACAGGCGGGAAAGAAGGAAGCAAGCCACUAUCUGUGGGAUAAACGGCAGUCUGGUGAAGAGAUCACCCCUGAGCUAACUGCUGCCAAUCCUCCUCUUUUUGCUGAGGAAGACUGGCCCUGAGCUAACACCUGUGCCCAUCUUCCUCUACUUUGUAUAUGGGACGCCUGCCACAGCAUGGCUUGCCAUGCGGUGCCAUGUCCACACCCGGGAUCCGAACCGGCGAACCCCAGGCCGCCGAAGUGGAAUGUGCGCACUUAACCACUGCGCCACUGGGCCGGCCCCUCCCCUGACUCUUUCAAGACUUUGCUAUGGGACUUGGGACUCAGUUUCCUUGUCUGUACAAGAGGGCAUUGGACCUGCUGUUUCUUACACUCCCUCAAAUUCCACGGGCCUAGGUCUUACUUGAGCCCAAGGUGGCAACCCCUUCUUGCUACCCCUUCCACCCCAAAAUGCUGACCCUGUCCCCCACCCUCACCCUGGGCUGAAGUGCAAAUUCUGACGCGUCUCAGAGGCGGCCCCGGCCCCCAGCCCUCUCCGAAAGCCUGACAGCGCUUCCAGGACCUUUCGCCCGGAUCCGGCCGGCUGCACACAGCAAGCGGCGUUGCUCAACCUCGAGGACGCCUCCAGCCCCGGGCUGUCUGAGGUGGCAGUCUCCAGACUCACCAUGUCCUUGUCCUUCAGGCCAGCCGCCCUCAGAGAUGACGCCCACAGAGUCAUGCCAAUGACUCAGAACUGACUGUGUCCCUUACACCAGGGCUCUCUAAACGGAAAAGCUAAUGAGCACAGGGACGAAAGCCCCCCAGCAUUGCCAUCUCUUAUUAUAAUGCCCUGGCCUGUGCUAAGGGCUUUUGUCAUAUGUGGUUUUUUUUGUUUGUUUGUUUGUUUUUUGCUGUGGAAGACUGGCCCUUAGCUCACAUCCAUGCCCAUCUUCCUCCACUUUAUACGUGGGAUGCCUGCCACAGCAUGGCUUGCCAAACAGUGCCAUGUCUGCACCUGGGAUCCGAACCAGCGAACCCCGGGCAGCUGAAGCAGAGCGUGAGAACUUAACUGCUACGCCACCAGGCCGGCCCCUGUGGUUUUGUUUAAUCUUCCUGCUCCCUCUGGGGUGAACACUCCUUCCGUCUUGUGUCAGACAUGAGGACAUGGGCCUCAGAGGUGGAAUCCUUCGCCCGGGGUCAGCUAAGGAGCGUGAUGGCGCGUCUCACUGAACUUGCUGCCCACGGCUUGACCAUUGUCCUGUCCUGCCUCCCUGGGGCAUCAGAUGUCUUUCUAUCCAGGUCACUCGAGCCCUGGGAUGCCUGUAGGGUCCCAGGGCAGGGCCUGGAGAGCGGGCAGGGGCAGCUGCCCCGGAGAACAGCUCCAACGGCCUUGGCUGGAGCCGGGGGAGAGCAGGGAGGGCGCAGCCCCUGACACCCCGCUCCGGGCCUCCAGGGCCAGAAACCUGAGUUAG
rnacentral:lncRNA from 1 species